rnacentral:rRNA from 1 species
UACGAAGGGUGCAAGCGUUGUUCGGAAUCAUUGGGCGUAAAGCGCGCGCAGGCGGAUUAAUAAGUCAGGUGUGAAAUCUCGGAGCUCAACUCCGAAACUGCGCCUGAAACUAUUAGUCUAGAAUGUCGGAGGGGGCAGGGGAAUUUCACGUGUAGGGGUAAAAUCCGUAGAGAUGUGAAGGAACACCGGUGGCGAAGGCGCCUGCCUGGACGAUUAUUGACGCUGAGGCGCGAAAGCGUGGGGAGCAAACAGG